AAAGGCCUCCGCUAUGUGGGCGGUGACCCGCCCGUGACGUAAGCUCUAGGCGCCUGAGAAGUGGGAGGACCCCGCGUCCAGGACAGGAAACACCCCUGACCUUGCUUACACACUCUGGAUACCACCUGCUGUGGAGUGACGGAGUGGCGGAAGCAGACAUCCAGCGAUAGUUAGGUUUCCUGUCGUUGACACCCGAGCAAGAAAGGCGUGUACCUAACUGAGGACCUGCCCGUGAUAGAAGUCUCAGCUUUUCUCAGAGACAGAGAUUAUGAUUGUGACCGGCAAGAACAUCUCCAGUAAUGAAGGUGCUGAUGGACAAGACCCUGGAUAGCUCUUCUUUUGCAGAGAAGGUGGGGCUGCUUUUCAUUUGUAUGAAGAAUAAAUCCAUUGUGUUGGGCAGGAUCAUUUGUUUUCAUUCAGUAUGGCAGCAGAUUCAGUAUGGAAUGGUGUGUAGAUGCUGAGUUACCUAAACAGGUUUCUGUGACACUUUUGGUGGAUCGAUACUCCGUUCUAACCUCUCCCGUAAGCACAGCUUAUCAGAAAG